rnacentral:lncRNA from 1 species
GAGUUUUUCCUUGUAGAUUUGUCAGAAUGAGCCUCCAGACCCCAUCCAGACUCCUGGAGCUGGCAGGGCAGAGCCUGAUGAGGAAGCAGUUCUUGACUAUCUUCACCCUGGACUAGCUGCCCAGGGAGGUCUCCCCUCUGACGUUCAUGGAGGCCUUCAGCAUGAGAUGUUGUGAGGCCCUGAAGCUGAUGGUGCAGGCCUGGUCCUCCCUUCACCUCCCUCUGGGAUCCCUGAUGAAGACAACUCAUCUGGAGACCUUGCAAGCUGUGCUGAAGGGACUUGAUACACUAGUGUCCCAGAAGGUUUGCCCCAGAGGUGGAAACUUCAAGUGCUGGAUUUGAGGGAUGUUGAUGAGAAUUUCUGGACCAUAUGGUCUGGAGUCAGGGUCCUCCCCUGCUCCCCAGAGGCCAUGAGUAAGAGGCAGACAGUGGAGGACUGUCCAAGGAUGGGAGAGUGCCAGCCCUUGAAGGUGUUCAUAGACCUCUGCCUGAAGGAAAGUACACUGGAUGAAUGCCUGAGCUACCUCUGAAGGUGGAUCCACUACAGAAGAGGCCUAGUGCACCUGUGUUGUAGUAAGGUGCAGAAUUACUCAAUGCCCACUUCAAGUUUCAGAAAUCUAUUGGAAAGGAUAUACCCAGACAGUAUCCAGGAGUUGGAAGUCUGGAAAAAGUGCUCUCUCAAUAAAACGGGAAAGUUUGCCCCUUACCUGAGCCAGAUGAGCAAUCUUCGCAAACUUUUUAGCCUUCGGUUAUGAGCCUGAAUUAUACGUGAGCGGCCAAUGGCAGUUCAUUCCUGACUUGGAUUGGCCAUUCCUGUGCCUGUACUACCCCCAGAUGCAUUAUAUAAGAAAGGUCAGUAAUAUCAAAGAGCACCUGGAGCACCUGCUCAGGU